CCUACGGGAGGCAGCAGUGGGGAAUAUUGCACAAUGGGGGAAACUCUGAUGCAGCGACGCCGCGUGAGUGAAGAAGUAAUUCGUUAUGUAAAGCUCUAUCAGCAGGGAAGAAAAUCACGGUACCUGAGUAAGAAGCCCCGGCUAACUCCGUGCCAGCAGCCGCGGUAAUACGUAGGGGGCAAGCGUUAUCCGGAUUUACUGGGUGUAAAGGGAGCGUAGACGGCAGUGCAAGUCUGGAGUGAAAGGCGGGGGCUCAACCCCCGGACUGCUCUGGAAACUGUACGGCUGGAGUGCAGGAGAGGUAAGUGGAAUUCCUAGUGUAGCGGUGAAAUGCGUAGAUAUUAGGAGGAACACCAGUGGCGAAGGCGGCUUACUAGACUGUAACUGACGUUGAGGCUCGAAAGCGUGGGGAGCAAACAGGAUUAGAUACCCUAGUAGUC
rnacentral:rRNA from 1 species